CUGCAAGUAUUUUAGAAAGGGUUUAGCCCUCACAUACCAAGAUCUGAGCGUUUGAUGUGGAUGGUAUCUAGGAGUAGGUUUCAAAUCACCAGUAAUUUGGGAACAGAAGUCUGAGGGGAAUUUCUUUCUGUGUUGCCACCAAAUCAAUCACCUGGAAGCAAAAAGGCACACACGUGUUCUGCCUUGUUACCACCCUGGCCACACACCUGAGUAUCUGCAGUACAGCACCAGUUUUGCUGAGGAGGUGGCAGUGUGCUUGGCCCUGCUUCCAGCAGUACCAGAAAGAUGAAAGGUGAAGAUCUGCCCUUGGUUGCGACACUUUCCUCCACCCCAGCCCAGCACAGACAUCACUAAUGCCCCCUGGGGCUGCCUGAAUCAUCGCUGCAGCACCAGUAUCUGACACUUUGCUUUGCAAAGUGUUUGCUGUUUAAUGCCUGUCUCUGCUCCAGUUCCCACUUUGUUGAAAUGAUGAAACCCUGCACAACACCAGCCUGACACGGCUCCUUUCUCCUGGAGAGGAUUCAUUUACUGUAUUGACAAAGUUGCC
rnacentral:lncRNA from 14 species